rnacentral:rRNA from 1 species
AUUGAACGCUGGCGGCAUGCUUUACACAUGCAAGUCGAACGGUAACAGGCCGCAAGGUGCUGACGAGUGGCGAACGGGUGAGUAAUGCAUCGGAACGUGCCCAGUCGUGGGGGAUAACGCAGCGAAAGCUGUGCUAAUACCGCAUACGAUCUAUGGAUGAAAGCGGGGGAUAGCAAGACCUCGCGCGAUUGGAGCGGCCGCUAUCAGAUUAGGUAGUUGGUGAGGUAAAGGCUCACCAAGCCGACGAUCUGUAGCUGGUCUGAGAGGACGACCAGCCACACUGGGACUAAGACACCGCCCAGAGUCCUACGGGAGGCAGCAGUGGGGAAUUUUGGACAAUUGGCGCAAGCCUGAUCCGGCAAUGCCGCGUGCAGGAUGAAAGCCUUCGGGUUGUAGACUGCUUUUGUACGGAGCGAAAAGGCUUCCACUAAUACUGGGGUCUCAUGACGGUACCGUAAGGAUAAGCACCGGCUAACUACGUGCCAGCAGCCGCCGUAAUAC